GAUGAACGCUGGCGGCGUGCCUAAUACAUGCAAGUCGAGCGAACGGACGAGAAGCUUGCUUCUCUGAUGUUAGCGGCGGACGGGUGAGUAACACGUGGAUAACCUACCUAUAAGACUGGGAUAACUUCGGGGAACCGUAGCUAAUACCGGAUAAUAUUUUGAACCGCAUAAUUCAAAAGUGCAAGACGGUCUUGCUGUCACUUAUAGAUGGAUUCGUGCUGCAUUAGCUAGUUGGUAAGGUCCCGGCUAACCAAGGCGACGAUCCGUAGCUGACCUGAGAGGAUGAUCAGCCACACUGGAACUGAGACACGGUCCAGACUCCUACGGGAGGCAGCAGUGGGGAAUAUUGGACAAUGGGCGCAAGCCUGAUCCAGCCAUACCGCGUGGGUGAAGAAGGCCUUCGGGUUGUAAAGCCCUUUUGUUGGGAAAGAAAAGCAGCAGGUUAAUACCCCGCUGUUCUGACGGUACCCAAAGAAUAAGCACCGGCUAACUUCGUG
rnacentral:rRNA from 1 species